GAUGAACGCUAGCGAUAGGCUUAACACAUGCAAGUCGAGGGGCAGCACAUGAGUGGCAACACGAUGGUGGCGACCGGCGCACGGGUGAGUAACACGUAUGCAACCUGCCCAUAACUGGGGGAUAACCCGUCGAAAGGCGGACUAAUACCGCAUGACAACGAUGAUCCGCAUGGUGAUUCAUUUUAAGAUUUAUCGGUUAUGGAUGGGCAUGCGUUCCAUUAGGUAGUUGGCAGGGUAACGGCCUACCAAGCCUACGAUGGAUAGGGGUUCUGAGAGGAAGGUCCCCCACACUGGUACUGAGACACGGACCAGACUCCUACGGGAGGCAGCAGUGAGGAAUAUUGGUCAAUGGGCGAGAGCCUGAACCAGCCAAAUCGCGUGAAGGAUGAAGGUAUUAUGUAUUGUAAACUUCUUUUGUCGGGGAAUAAAGUGCAGCACGUGUGCUGUUUUGUAUGUACCCGAAGAAUAAGGAUCGGCUAACUCUGUGCCAGCCGCCGCAGUAACAC
rnacentral:rRNA from 1 species